rnacentral:rRNA from 1 species
AUUGAACGCUGGCGGAAUGCUUUACACAUGCAAGCCGAACGGCAGCACGGACUUCGGCCUGGUGGCGAGUGGCGAACGGGUGAGUAAUACAUCGGAACGUGCCCAGUCGGGGGGGAUAACGUAGCGAAAGUUACGCUAAUACCGCAUACGAUCUACGGAGGAAAGCGGGGGACUGUAGGGCCUUGCGCGAUUGGAGCGGCCGAUGUCAGAUUAAGUAGUUGGUGAGGUAAAGGCUCACCAAGCCGACGAUCUGUAGCUGGUCUGAGAGGACGACCAGCCACACUGGGACUGAGACACGGCCCAGACUCCUACGGGAGGCAGCAGUGGGGAAUUUUGGACAAUGGGCGCAAGCCUGAUCCAGCCAUUCCGCGUGCAGGACGAAGGCCUUCGGGUUGUAAACUGCUUUUGUACGGAACGAAAAGGCUCUGGUUAAUACCUGGGGCUCAUGACGGUACCGUAAGAAUAAGCACCGGCUAACUACGUGCCAGCCGCCGCGGUAA